GAAGGAAGUGAAGGAAGGGGAGAGGAGGAGGAAGAAAAGGAGGAGGAGGAGACUGGACCUGAUUUUUCUUCCGACACUCUCGGGGGAUAAAAAUAAAAACCCCGACUGGAAGUACCAACCAAAGAGGCUUAACGUGGAGGAAAUAGGCAGCUGCUGUCCAAAGGAAGAGGGAGACACGGACACAAAGUUUUACUUUUGCUUCCCUAUAAAGGUAUUUAAGAUUCGCAGCAGAGAAGACAGUCAGGAAGAUCCUGAGGAGGUGUGAAGGAAUUGACACCAGAAACCCUUGCCUCUCUAGGACGCAGCACUCGUUCUUCUUAACCCUUGGGGCCCCGCAGGUGGCAGAGAGGUGCGGGAGAGUCUGGCGGGGGACAUCCAGAGGUUCCCCGGAUACAGAAACUGGAAGCCAUUUGUGGUCUUUGCAA